rnacentral:rRNA from 1 species
CGCGCGAUACAGGGUGACAGCCCCGUACACAAAAGCGUAUGUGCUGUGAGCUCGAUGAGUAGGGCGGGACACGUGGUAUCCUGUCUGAAUAUGGGGGGACCAUCCUCCAAGGCUAAAUACUCCUGACUGACCGAUAGUGAACCAGUACCGUGAGGGAAAGGCGAAAAGAACCCCGGCGAGGGGAGUGAAAAAGAACCUGAAACCGUGUACGUACAAGCAGUGGGAGCCCCACCACUAAGCCAGUGGUGAACUCCACAUACGCAUCCUUUGCUGAGGAUACGGUUAACGGAGCGAAAGCGACGUUCAACCGCAAAAGAAGCAGAGGGGGCUUAGUGGUGGGGUGACUGCGUACCUUUUGUAUAAUGGGUCAGCGACUUAUAUUCUGUAGCAAGGUUAACCGAAUAGGGGAGCCGGAGGGAAACCGAGUCUUAACCGGGCGUUAAGUUGCAGGGUAUAGACCCGAAACCCGGUGAUCUAGCCAUGGGCAGGUUGAAGGUUGGGUAACACUAACUGGAGGACCGAACCGACUAAUGUUGAAAAAUUAGCGGAUGACCUGUGGCUGGGGGUGAAAGGCCAAUCAAACCGGGAGAUAGCUGGUUCUCCCCGAAAGCUAUUUAGGUAGCGCCUCGUGAAUUCAUCUCCGGGGGUAGAGCACUGUUUCGGCUAGGGGGCCAUCCCGGCUUACCAACCCGAUGCAAACUGCGAAUACCGGAGAAUGUUAUCACGGGAGACACACGGCGGGUGCUAACGUCCGUCGUGAAGAGGGAAACAACCCAGACCGCCAGCUAAGGUCCCAAAGUCAUGGUUAAGUGGGAAACGAUGUGGGAAGGCCCAGACAGCCAGGAUGUUGGCUUAGAAGCAGCCAUCAUUUAAAGAAAGCGUAAUAGCUCACUGGUCGAGUCGGCCUGCGCGGAAGAUGUAACGGGGCUAAACCAUGCACCGAAGCUGCGGCAGCGAACGUAUCACUUAAAGCGAUUCAGCGGGUUACGAU